GACGAACGCUGGCGGCGUGCCUAAUACAUGCAAGUAGAACGCACAGUUUAUACCGUAGCUUGCUACACCAUAAACUGUGAGUUGCGAACGGGUGAGUAACGCGUAGGUAACAUGCCUGGUAGCGGGGGAUAACUAUUGGAAAAGAUAGCUAAUACCGCAUAAUAUUAAUUAUUGCAUGAUAAUUGAUGGAAAGAUGCAAUUGCAUCAAUACCAGAUGGACCUGCGUUGUAUUAGCUAGUAGGAGAGGUAACGGCUCACCUAGGCGACGAUACAUAGCCGACCUUGGAGGGUGGUCCGCCCCCCUGGGACUGAGACCCGGCCCAGGCUCCCACGGGAGGCAGCAGUAGGGAAUCUUCGGCCAUGGGCGAAAGUCUGACCGGGCAACGCCGCGUUAGUGAAGAAGGUUCUCGGAACGUAAAGCUCUUUUGUAAGGGAAGAACGGGUUGGGGAGUUGAAAGUUCACACUUUGACGGUAUCUUACCAGAAAGGGACGGCUAACUACGUG
rnacentral:rRNA from 1 species